rnacentral:rRNA from 1 species
CCCAGACUCCUACGGGAGGCAGCAGUGAGGAAUAUUGGUCAACGGGCGGGAGCCUGAACCAGCCAAGCCGCGUGAAGGAAGAAGGCGCCAGGCGUCGUAAACUUCUUUUGUCGGGGAACAAAGGGCGCCACGCGUGGCGUUGUGAGUGUACCCGAAGAAAAAGCAUCGGCUAACUCCGUGCCAGCAGCCGCGGUAAUACGGAGGAUGCGAGCGUUAUCCGGAUUUAUUGGGUUUAAAGGGUGCGUAGGCGGUCCGGAAAGUCAGCGGUAAAAGCCCGGGGCUCAACCCCGGCCGGCCGUUGAAACUGGGGGCCUUGAGUGGGCGAGAAGAAGGCGGAAUGCGUGGUGUAGCGGUGAAAUGCAUAGAUAUCACGCAGAACCCCGAUUGCGAAGGCAGCCUUCCGGCGCCCUACUGACGCUGAGGCACGAAAGUGCGGGGAUCGAACAGGAUUAGAUACCCCAGUAGA